AGAAUCAACGCUGGCGGCGUGCCUAACACAUGCAAGUCGCACGAGAAAGGGUAGCAAUACCUGAGUACAGUGGCGCACGGGUGAGUAACACGUGAAUCAUCUACCUCCGAGUGGGGAAUAACUGAGAGAAAUCUUAGCUAAUACCGCAUAAUACCCACGGGUCAAAGCAGCAAUGCGCUUGGAGAGGAGUUCGCGGCAGAUUAGUUAGUUGGCGGGGUAAUGGCCCACCAAGACGAUGAUCUGUAUCCGGCCUGAGAGGGCGCACGGACACACUGGAACUGAAACACGGUCCAGACUCCUACGGGAGGCAGCAGUGGGGAAUAUUGCGCAAUGGGCGAAAGCCUGACGCAGCGACGCCGCGUGGGGGAUGAAGGCCUUCGGGUUGUAACCCUUUCAGCAGGGACGAAGCGAAAGUGACGGUACCUGCAGAAGAAGCGCCGGCUAACGUACGUGCCAGCAGCCGCGGU
rnacentral:rRNA from 1 species